rnacentral:rRNA from 1 species
AAAAAAGCGGAGGAAAAGAAACCAACCGGGAUUGCCUUAGUAACGGCGAGUGAAGCGGCAAAAGCUCAAAUUUGAAAUCUGGUACCUUCGGUGCCCGAGUUGUAAUUUGGAGAGGGCAACUUUGGGGCCGUUCCUUGUCUAUGUUCCUUGGAACAGGACGUCAUAGAGGGUGAGAAUCCCGUGUGGCGAGGAGUGCGGUUCUUUGUAAAGUGCCUUCGAAGAGUCGAGUUGUUUGGGAAUGCAGCUCUAAGUGGGUGGUAAAUUCCAUCUAAAGCUAAAUAUUGGCGAGAGACCGAUAGCGAACAAGUACAGUGAUGGAAAGAUGAAAAGAACUUUGAAAAGAGAGUGAAAAAGUACGUGAAAUUGUUGAAAGGGAAGGGCAUUUGAUCAGACAUGGUGUUUUGUGCCCUCUGCUCCUUGUGGGUAGGGGAAUCUCGCAUUUCACUGGGCCAGCAUCAGUUUUGGUGGCAGGAUAAAUCCAUAGGAAUGUAGCUUGCCUCGGUAAGUAUUAUAGCCUGUGGGAAUACUGCCAGCUGGGACUGAGGACUGCGACGUAAGUCAAGGAUGCUGCAUAAGACCUGACGU